rnacentral:rRNA from 1 species
UACGGAGGGUGCAAGCGUUAUCCGGAUUUACUGGGUUUAAAGGGUGCGUAGGCGGCACAAUAAGUCAGGGGUGAAAGCCUACGGCUAAACCGUAGAAAUGCCUUUGAUACUGUUGUGCUUGAAUUAGAUCGAGGUCGGCGGAAUGUGGCAUGUAGCGGUGAAAUGCUUAGAUAUGCCAUAGAACACCAAUUGCGAAGGCAGCUGACUAGGUCUACAUUGACGCUGAGGCACGAAAGCGUGGGGAGCAAACAGG